AUCGGCUCUCGCCUUUUGCUAAGAUCCAGUGUAGUAUCUGUUCUAUCAGCUUUAAUAUCGAUACGUCCCUACCCGGGACCAUAUAUGUUAAAUGUUUUUGAACUGGAGAUGGAAUAGGGGCUGCCCGCCACUCACGCAUCGAACCUGGUAUCUGCAUACUUCCAGGACCGUGCACCCCUC